GCGGGGCCUGCGGAUCAUCAGUUAGUUGGUGGGGUAACGGCCUACCAAGACGACGACGAUUAGGGGACCUGAGAGGGUGACCCCCCACACUGGCACUGACACACGGGCCAGACUCCUACGGGAGGCAGCCGUCGGGAAUAUUGCACAAUGAGCGAAAGCUUGAUGCAGCAACGCCGCGUGCGCGAUGAAGGUCUUCGGAUCGUAAAGCGCUUUUCGAGGGGAUGAGGAAGGACAGUACCCUCGGAAUAAGUCACGGCUAACUACGUGCCAGCAGCCGCGGUAAAACGUAGGUGGCGAGCGUUAUCCGGAUUUACUGGGCGUAAAGCGUGUUCAGGCGGUUUGGGAAGUCGGGCAUGAAAUCUCUUGGCUCAACCAGGAGAGGCUGUCCGAUACUUUCAGACUUGAGGGCAACAGAGGGCGAUGGAAUUCCGGGUGUAGUGGUAAAAUGCGUAGAUAUCCGGAGGAACACCAGUGGCGAAGGCGGUCGCCUGGGUUGCGUCUGACGCUAAAACACGAAGGCUAGGGUAGAGAACGGGAUUAGAA
rnacentral:rRNA from 1 species